CGCUCUACCAGAGUUUUCCAUGCAAGCCCAGGAUAGGGAGAAGUCAUAUCUAUGCUGUUGGUCAAUUGGUGCUUUCAUCUACUCAGUGCUGCUCUAGAAUUUUUCAGGGAAACUGCAUCAUGCCAAAAAGCAGAGUGAUCAGAGUGAAUAAUAGAGGACCAUAUGAAGAAUGGAAAAGCUUAGAACUAAUGUCUCACUGUUGCAGUUCUUAUCUACACCUGCUAGCUCUUGUGGGGACUCAUUUCUCUAGAUGAAGCAACUUUCUGCCAGUUAUAAUAUAAGACCCAGGCCUCAAAGUCCCUCAAAGUAAAACUUAAGUACAAAUUGGCAUUUUGUAUGUGCCACAUCUGUGGAUUAGAAAUAUCCCUGUAGGUGCCAAUCCUGUUGAUAACAGGUAUAUAUGUACCUGUGUUUGCAAAGACUACAAUGGAAGGAGCUGCAAAGUGAUGCAUCUGUAUGGAAGUGUGUUUAUUAUAAGGGAAUCUUACAUAUGAGAGAAGUAAAUGUAGGUGUCCAUCAUAUGUAUAUUUUAAUGGUUUACUGUAUGGAAAUAAAGUACAGAAACAGUUUU